rnacentral:rRNA from 1 species
UACGUAGGCAGCGAGCGUUGUUCGGAGUUACUGGGCGUAAAGGGUGUGUAGGCGGUUGUUUAAGUUUGGUGUGAAAUCUCCCGGCUCAACUGGGAGGGUGCGCCGAAUACUGAAUGACUUCGAGUGCGGGAGAGGAGAGUGGAAUUCCUGGUGUAGCGGUGAAAUGCGUAGAUAUCGUGAGGAACACCAGAGGCGAAGGCGGUUACCUGGACAGUUACUGACGCUCAGGCACGAAAGCGUGGGGAGCAAAAGGG